CUGUUCUGCCCGUCAUUCAUUGGUUGACCCCUGUGAUGUCAUGCCGUUAGCUUCCUGACAGACCCCCCCUGAAGAGGAAUCUGUCCGACCGAAGCGUCGGCUCCCGCCAGCCACACCACCACCUGCUGGAGAAAGCCGGCAUCAUGAAUAAGACCAAGAUCGCCGAAAACGGCAAAAAGAUCAGGAAGAACUGGAGUCAGUCGUGGACCGUCCUGCACGGAGGGAUUCUGACCUUCCACAGAGACCCCAAGUCUGCCCCCCCUGGGAC